UGCCACAUCUGCUUGGAGAACAAAUAAGGAACUGCACCUUCGCCAAAGAGCAAAGCCUCGCCGUACAAUAUCAUCAAAUCAUCACUUGCAAGUAAAAAGCUAAGUGUCACCCAGUUUAAGAGGAAAGCUGUGGAAAGUCAACAAGCACGACCAAUGAUUACUUAUUAGUUCUAUUCAUUGUCUUUUAUCGUGAUUUUCAAUUUUUCGUUUACAAUUUUUUUUUAUAUUUUCUUGUGUUACUAAACUGAAUUAUUUCUUUUCUUUGCAGGAACUUUUGGUUAUUUCCACCCUUGAAGUUGAUUGCAGAAUUUUAGCUUGGGGGUCAUCGCUUGGUUUUACUGCAAAUUAGGGAAGUUUUCAGUCCAAUUGCUUUAUUUUGUUUCGUAUUAUUUAUUUAUUUUAUUUUAUUUUUAUUUGCAUUAUAGUGUUUUCUGACAUUGGGGACAAUGUCCAGUUUAAGUGUGGGGGUAGACAUCUCUAGAAUUUCAUUUGUUUCUGUGUUGUUGCUUUUUGUUUUCUUUAAAAAAAAUUAAAAAAAAUAAAAAUUUAAAUUAAAAAAAAAAAAUCGGAAAAUUUAAAAAUCCAAAAAUAUUGUCUUGUUUUCCUUAUUGUAUUUUUGUUAGUUUCCCGACCCAAUGAUAUAAUUGGAUCAAAUUUGAACCAUGAUCAUCAAGAACUUAGUUAACAUGUGUUUUGUGAAAUUCCUAAUUCUCUUGUUAGUUUUGUACAUGUUUGAUCAUCUUUGAAAAACCAAAUGCACAUAGCCUUGUUGAUGUGAAACUAAAGCAUGACUUAAAGCUUCAUAUGUGAAUUUAGUGACCAUAUACAUCCUAUGUGAGUUUUUGAGCCGAUUGAAAGUGUGUGCAUUUUUCAUACACUCCUAUUCUUUCAUGUGUGAUGAACUUAUGUGAGAUACAUCUCUAGAACUUGCGUAACGAUCUUUCGAAAUGUUUGUCAUUGAUUGCAUGAAUUUGGAAAUGAUAGAGGCAUUAGGUUUACCACUAUGGCCCAAAUAACCAUGUUUCCCAAAGAAAAAAUGAUAUCAUUAGAUUGCCAAUUUGAGCCGUGUAUGUUGAGCCUUUUAUUUCUUAUCACCAGAUAUGUCUACCCUUAUACCUGAAACAUUUUUCCUUACCCUUUCCAAGCGAGCAAUGCGAAAUUGUCUUAUGAGAAAUGUUUGGGAAGUACUUUGAAGGUGUUUGGCAAAAGAAUAAGUGUGGGGGUAUUUCAUGUUUGUAUUUAAAAAAUAAAAAAUAAAAAAUAAAAAAAUAAAAAAAUAAAAAAAAAAGAAAAGAAAAAGAAAGAUUGUAUACAAAGAAAAUAAAAAGUUUAAAGUUUCAGUUUAAGGGUGUGGUUGGAGGUGCUAGAAGAAUUGCUGGAAAGAUUGAGUUCUUAUAAAUCUAAACAAAAGAAUUGCUUGCAAUGUAGCUUGGAACUUGUGUUUUCCUAUUCUUUCAUUUCAAUAACCCUCUCCCUAAACCUCAUUAUAUCCAAUAAAAGUCCUCUUGAUUUAAGUUUUGCAAUUAUGACUGUGGAGAAGUGAUCUUUAUGCAAGCUUAUGGUAGAAAUUUCACAUUUGUUUCUUUGAGCGAAACACAUUAAAACUAAACACAUGUGUGAUUGAGUGCAUAUCCCGUGAGAAGGUCGCUAGUUUGCAUAUGAUGAUUUUAAAAAUAAAAACUUGAAAUUGCAUUAGCAUGGCUAUCUCACACACUACACUUCAAGGAUG
rnacentral:lncRNA from 1 species